GAACGCUGGCGGCGUGGCUAAGACAUGCAAGUCGAACGGACUAUUUGAUUGAGUAAUCGAGAUAAUAGUUAGUGGCGAAAGGGUGAGGAAUGAAUAGGUAACGUACCCCGAACUUCGGGAUAGCGUCAGGUGCUUGCACCUUUGCGAAAGCGGCGGUAAUACCGAAUAAUAUCAUCGAUCUCUAGUGAUAUGAUCAAAGAUUUAUCGGUUUGGGAGCGGCCUAUUUCCUAUCAGCUUGUUGGUGAGGUAAUGGCUCACCAAGGCAUCGACGGGUAGCGGGACUGAGAGGUUGGCCCGCCACAUUGGGACUGAGACACUGCCCAGACCCCCACGGGGGGCUGCAGUAACGAAUAUUGUGCAAUGAACGAAAGUUUGACACAGCGACGCCGCGUGUAGGAUGAAGCUUUUCGGAGUGUAAACUACUGUCAGGGGUUAGAAAGUGCGCUUCGGCGCAUUGAUCAGCCCCAGAGGAAGUCACGGCUAACUUCGUGCCAGCAGCCGCGGUAAUACGAAGGUGGCAAGCGUUGUUCGGAAUCACUGGGCUUAAAGCGCGCGUAGGCGGAAUAGAUAGUGUCUUGUGAAAUCCCUCGGCUUAACCGAGGAAUUGCGAGGCAAACUUCUAUUCUUGAGGCAAGUAGGGGUACAUGGAACUCUUGGUGGAGCGGUGGAAUGCGUAGAUAUCAAGAGGAACGCCAAAGGUGAAGACAGUGUACUGGGCUUGUCCUGACGCUGAGGUGCGAAAGCGUGGGGAGCG
rnacentral:rRNA from 1 species